AUUGAACGCUGGCGGCAGGCCUAACACAUGCAAGUCGAGCGGAUGAAAGGAGCUUGCUCCUGGAUUCAGCGGCGGACGGGUGAGUAAUGCCUAGGAAUCUGCCUGGUAUUGGGGGAUAACGUCCGGAAACGGGCGCUAAUACCGCAUACGUCCUGAGGGAGAAAGUGGGGGAUCUUCGGACCUCACGCUAUCAGAUGAGCCUAGGUCGGAUUAGCUAGUUGGUGGGGUAAAGGCCUACCAAGGCGACGAUCCGUAACUGGUCUGAGAGGAUGAUCAGUCACACUGGAACUGAGACACGGUCCAGACUCCUACGGGAGGCAGCAGUGGGGAAUAUUGGGCAAUGGGCGAAAGCCUGAUCCAGCCAUGCCGCGUGUGUGAAGAAGGUCUUCGGAUUGUAAAGCACUUUAAGUUGGGAGGAAGGGCAGUAAGUUAAUACCUUGCUGUUUUGACGUUACCAACAGAAUAAGCACCGGCUAACUUCGUG
rnacentral:rRNA from 1 species